ensembl:Y_RNA Y_RNA Y RNA
AGCUGGUCCGAGUGCAGUCACAACCAGUUACAGAUUUCUUUGUUCCUUCUCCACUCCCACGGCUUCACUUGACUAGCCUUAA